AGCUGAACCAGGAGAAAAUAAUCUUGCAAGACCUACUUGGAGCUGAUUUUUCUGAGGAGAGCUGUUUGUUUGUGAGCCCAGGCUGCACAGAGGUCUGGAGGUCUCACUAAGGUAGGGUAGAUAUCUAUACAAGUCACCCAGUGAGGUAGGAGGAAGGCAAGGAUCCUCAGGUCUGCUGUCGUUUAUCCUGGCCUUCCUCCUAGGCCUCUUGCCAUUCUCCGUAUCUGCACUUUGGUCUGUACAAAUCCACCGUUGUCAACAUCCCAGAAAUACUGCUACAAAUUUUCCCCUACAGCCAGACAGCUGAGCAGGAUUUCAGGAUGUGUUUCCUCAGUUACAGACUCCUCCUUCUAUAUACAGCAUAGGAUGAAACAGGGAGCAUGCAAGAGGCCUAUAUAGCUUUAAUGGACUCUGCUUUAUUACUGAGUUGCAUUAUCCAAGCUUCCCAGCUGGAACAGGCAAUUUCGGACUGGUGUGACCAUACCUCAAG
ensembl:lncRNA